UUUCAGGCCUGACGCUUUGUUCCUGGAUACACUUGCUCAUUUCCCAUUGGUCUAUUACAUGACUGGAAGUAUUUGGAGGCUGUUCCCAAGUGUGACUGUAUUGACGGAGUUGACUCAGGUGUCUUACAUAAAGUUCAUGGACAUCUCAGGGCUGACUUUGGCUUCUAAAAAUCUGAGGCACAAAUCCACAUCUGGGUCACAUUUGGGUGAAAUUUUCUGCUUACCAUUUGCUGCAGGUCAUUUCUUUUCAUCCAGCAUGUUGGACAACUCUGUUAUAUCAGACAUUCACCAAAGGUUAACUCAUUUCUUUUAUUUGACUUUUGCUGGGCAUUAAUGGAGAACAAGGUUCUGGACAUUUGUCAAGUUGAAGAAAGCUACUGUCAGGAAGUACCAGAUGUAUGGUCACCUGUACGAAGACUUUUUUCGACAGGUAGGCAAGUACCAUUUGCUAUCUACAGAAUCCAGUCAGUGGACAACCUUAAGGUACAUGCUUCAAGUUCUUCUGGACAUAAAGCUGACCACAACACUUAAACACCGGUCUGAAGGCUACUCCAUGAUGGGCAGCCUAUGUCAUCACCAAGCCAGCAUCUAACUGUUAACUCCUUGUUGGGGACAUUGUCUCUGUCCUUCAACCAGCAUCAAUGUGUGUGACUCC